AACGAGAAAGUUUCCUUCGGGGAAUGAGUAAAGUGGCGCAAGGGUGAGUGACACGUGAAUAAUCUGCCUUCGAGACUGGGAUAACUUGAUGAAAGUUAAGCUAAUACCGGAUAAGACCACGCUUCACAAGGAGUGCGGGAAAAGGGGUCUCAAACCCUGCUUGAAGAUGAGUUCGCGUACCAUUAGCUUGUUGGUGAGAUAGCAGCUCACCAAGGCAACGAUGGUUAGCCGGCCUGAGAGGGUGAUCGGCCACACUGGAACUGAGACACGGUCCAGACUCCUACGGGAGGCAGCAGUGGGGAAUCUUGCGCAAUGGGCGAAAGCCUGACGCAGCAACGCCGCGUGAGCGAUGAAGGCCUUUGGGUCGUAAAGCUCUGUCAAGUGGGAAGAACACAAUGACGGUACCACUAGAGGAAGCCCCGGCUAACUUCGUGCCAGCAGCCGCGGUAAUACGAAGGGGGCAAGCGUUGUUCGGAAUUAUUGGGCGUAAAGCGUGUGUAGGUGGUCUUUCAAGUCAGACGUGUAAGCCCUCGGCUCAACCGAGGAAUUGCGUUUGAAACUGAUCGACUUGAGUGCAGGAGAGGAAAGCGGAAUUCCCAGUGUAGCGGUGAAAUGCGUUGAUAUUGGGAAGAACACCGGUGGCGAAGGCGGCUUUCUGGUCUGCUACUGACACUGAGAUACGAAAGCCAGGGGAGCAAAGGGGAUUAGAUACCCCCGUAGUCCUGGCUGUAAACGAUGGGCACUAGGU
rnacentral:rRNA from 1 species